UACAGAGGGGGCAAGCGUUAUUCGGAAUUAUUGGGCGUAAAGGGCGCGUAGGCGGCCUGGCAAGUGGAAGGUGAAAUCCCUCGGCUUAACCGAGGAACUGCCCUCCAAACUGCUUGGCUUGAGUCCGGGAGAGGUGAGUGGAAUUCCCAGUGUAGCGGUGAAAUGCGUAGAUAUCAGGAGGAACACCGGUGGCGAAGGCGGCUCUCUGGACGGUGACUGACGCUGAGACGCGAAAGCGUGGGGAGCAAACAGG
rnacentral:rRNA from 1 species